CUCACUUUGUAGCCCAGGCUGGCCUUGAACUCACAAAGAUCCUCCUGCUUCAGCCUCCCAAGUGCUGGGAUUACAGGCAUAUGCCACCACGCCCAGCUCGCAUCUUUCUGAAGGGCCUGGAUUUUAUUCCUUUCUGGCAAGAAUCAGCCUCGGCGUCCUUCCCAGCAAAGACUGACUCAAGCCUGGAAGUGGCCUCAGAGAACAGAGACUUCCAACGUCCUAAGGUGAGUCCCCCACACAAGGACAGGCCCCAGGGUCUCUCCACCCUGGGUUUGUUUAGAGCUGCAUGAUUUUGAACAAGGCACUUGUUCUCUGAGCUCGUUUCCUUCCUGUAAGGUGAGGAUGGGAUCAGGUGGGAUGUGUCAAGCUAGGCUGCUUAAGCUAAGCUAGUGACAGCUCACCCCGGAGUCACGGGGCUUUCAACCCCCAAGGCCAGGCGCUCACUCCUGCCUCCUGUCCACUCUACUUUGGUCAGCCAGGACUCUGCUUCAUGUCACCUUCAGCCCAGGCCCCAGGCUGGUGGAGGGGCUGUCGUGAGCGUGCAAUGAGCUCGAUCCACGAGAGCUCUGGAACUGUUUCCUCUGGGGCUGGAGUGUGACUCGGUGGCAGAGCACGCGCUUAGUAUGUGUGACACCUGGGGUCAGUCUAGGAAAAGAAAACCUGUUGCCCUGGAGUUCUGAUUCCCUUGUGUAUUUGCCAUCCACACAGUUCCAGCUCUUCAGAGCCACAUGGGGAGAUGGACUCACCACGGUUCACACAGUGUGGCGGUGGCUGUACAUCUAUGUUUCCAGCCCCAAAUUCAGAAGCUCUUCCACCCGGAGUCCUCUGGAAGGAUUGUUGACUGAGAUUGUGAGGGUCUUUUAGUUUUUUUGUUUUGUUUGCGUGUUGUUGAGAUGGGGUCUUGCUAUGUAGUUAAGGCUGGCCUUGAACUCACUAUGGAGCCCAGGCUGGCUUUGAACUUAUGGCGACCCUCCUGCCUCAGCCUCCCGAGUGCUGGGUUUACAGGUGUGCACCACCAG
rnacentral:lncRNA from 1 species